rnacentral:rRNA from 1 species
AGUGAACGCUGGCGGUAGGCCUAACACAUGCAAGUCGAACGGCAGCACAGUAAGAGCUUGCUCUUACGGGUGGCGAGUGGCGGACGGGUGAGGAAUACAUCGGAAUCUACUUUUUCGUGGGGGAUAACGUAGGGAAACUUACGCUAAUACCGCAUACGACCUACGGGUGAAAGCAGGGGAUCUUCGGACCUUGCGCGAUUGAAUGAGCCGAUGUCGGAUUAGCUAGUUGGGGGGGUAAAGGCCCACCAAGGCGACGAUCCGUAGCUGGUCUGAGAGGAUGAUCGGCCACACUGGAACUGAGACACGGUCCAGACUCCUGCGGGAGGCAGCAGUGGGGAAUAUUGGACAAUGGGCGCAAGCCUGAUCCAGCCAUACCGCGUGGGUGACGAAGGCCUUCGGGUUGUAAAGCCCUUUUGUUGGGAAAGAAAAGCAGCAGGUUAAUACCCCGCUGUUCUGACGGUACCCAAAGAAUAAGCACCGGCUAACUUCGUG